UUGAACGCUGGCGGCAUGCCUUACACAUGCAAGUCGAACGGCAGCACGGGUGCUUGCACCUGGUGGCGUGUGGCGAACGGGUGAGUAAUACAUCGGAACAUGUCCUGUAGUGGGGGAUAGCCCGGCGAAAGCCGGAUUAAUACCGCAUACGAUCUACGGAUGAAAGCGGGGGACCUUCGGGCCUCGCGCUAUAGGGUUGGCCGAUGGCUGAUUAGCUAGUUGGUGGGGUAAAGGCCUACCAAGGCGACGAUCAGUAGCUGGUCUGAGAGGACGACCAGCCACACUGGGACUGAGACACGGCCCAGACUCCUACGGGAGGCAGCAGUGGGGAAUUUUGGACAAUGGGCGAAAGCCUGAUCCAGCAAUGCCGCGUGUGUGAAGAAGGCCUUCGGGUUGUAAAGCACUUUUGUCCGGAAAGAAAUCCUUGGCCCUAAUACGGUCGGGGGAUGACGGUACCGGAAGAAUAAGCACCGGCUAACUACGUG
rnacentral:rRNA from 1 species